rnacentral:rRNA from 1 species
GACGAACGCUGGCGGCGUGCUUAACACAUGCCAGUCGAACGGAAAGGCCCUGCUUUUGUGGGGUGCUCGAGUGGCGAACGGGUGAGUAACACGUGAGUAACCUGCCCUUGACUUUGGGAUAACUUCAGGAAACUGGGGCUAAUACCGGAUAGGAGCUCCUGCUGCAUGGUGGGGGUUGGAAAGUUUCGGCGGUUGGGGAUGGACUCGCGGCUUAUCAGCUUGUUGGUGGGGUAGUGGAUUACCAAGGCUUUGACGGGUAGCCGGCCUGAGAGGGUGACCGGCCACAUUGGGACUGAGAUACGGCCCAGACUCCUACGGGAGGCAGCAGUGGGGAAGAUUGCACAAUGGGCGGAAGCCUGAUGCAGCAACGCCGCGUGCGGGAUGACGGCCUUCGGGUUGUAAACCGCUUUCGCCUGUGACGAAGCGUGAGUGACGGUAAUGGGUAAAGAAGCACCGGCUAACUACGUG